GAUGAACGCUAGCUACAGGCUUAACACAUGCAAGUCGAGGGGUAACGAGAGGAAAGCUUGCUUUCCUUGUCGACGACCGGCGCACGGGUGAGUAACGCGUAUCCAACCUGCCCCCAACUAGGGAUAACCUUGCGAAAGUAAGACUAAUACCCUAUAAUUUCCUCAGAUGACAUCUGACGAGGAAUAAAGAUUUAUCGGUUGUGGAUGGGGAUGCGUCUGAUUAGCUUGUUGGCGGGGUAACGGCCCAACAAGGCAACGAUCAGUAGGGGUUCUGAGAGGAAGGUCCCCCACAUUGGAACUGAGACACGGUCCAAACUCCUACGGGAGGCAGCAGUGAGGAAUAUUGGUCAAUGGGCGGAAGCCUGAACCAGCCAAGUAGCGUGCAGGAUGACGGCCCUAUGGGUUGUAAACUGCUUUUAUACAGGAAAAAAGUUAGCCACGUGUGGUUAUUUGUAGGUACUGUAUGAAUAAGGACCGGCUAAUUCCGUGCCAGCAGCCGCAGUAA
rnacentral:rRNA from 1 species